UAGACAGCUGAUGUGUUAAUGGUGCAUUCAGUCUCAAAAGCUAGUUUUUGAUGCAGGGGAUGUUGUAAAGAGAGCACCACAGUCUCCCCCUCCUGGACUGGAAGCAAAGACGGUUGACAUCCCAAUGAAGCUUCAAAUGUUAAAGCAUUACCUCUUGGGAUGGUGUGGACACAGAGGAUCAGGAUGGAGGGGGAGAGCUGAAGACUGGGAGAAGGUUCUGGAGCAAUACUGAAGCAGUACCAAGACACAUCUAAAACAAAUCUUCAAGGUGUGGGGAGGAACAAAACAAGAUGAAGCUGUAGUUAAACUUUGGAUCCAAGAUCUGUAAAUGAAACACGACUUCAGCACACAUGGUACAAAGUGAUAUAAUGAGUGACCUAACACAAACAGGCUAACCUGAAAUGCAAAACUGAGCCAAAAGACAACAGGAACUCGAGUCUCUUGGUGUAAGCAAGUCUUAACCAAAUACUUUUCAUAUUCACCGGUAACAAAAAUAUUUAUUUAAUAUUUAUUUAUAGAAAUAUUUGUUUAACCAAAAAAAACAUUCCUGGAAGUCACAAAGCCCUCCUUGUUUUCACUUCAUCAAACUGCAUUUUCAAGCUUCUUCUGCUAUCUUACUUCCAGAUGAUAAAAAGGUCAAGCCAAUAAAACUUCAUCAUAAUUAAAUUAUCUUUCAACUAGUUUUUAGAACCUUUGACCUUUUUAGCACCUUUGCAGAUUGUGAAGAUCACAUAUUGAAACAAACAACAUAUUUCCAAGACUCUUACUUCAGCUUGGGUCAAAAUAGCCUCUGAGGGGCCUCUUACUUUAUUCUUCUUAACAGCUUCUUCCAGAAUGGCCUUUACUCUUCCCUGAGAGAGCGGCCAAUGAGGAGACUACAAUACUAACUAUAACUACAACGAUGACCUGGACACAUCAAAGAAAAACUGGAUGUUAAAGUUUACUUUAAAAUGACUUUAAAACAGUCACAAAUUAAGCCAUUACCAUCGCUUAUUAAUUUCAUAUGAUGGUGUUACUUUUAUAUAGUAAAUGGAAAAGGGUCUGGGUAUUAUACAGUAUUCCUGUUCUACUGGAGCGUCAAAGUGCUUUAUACAACAUGUCUCAUUCACCCGUUGACACUCAUUCAAACAAGCACUUUUUAUUUUCUACAACUAAAUGCUUUCUAUUGAACUUUAACACUUCAGAGGCCAACUUGGGGUUCAUUAACUUGCCCAAAGAUGCUUUGACAUCAAAACUUUGAGCUCAAACUACCAGCCUUCCAGUUACUGAAUGACCAGUUCGACCUCCUGAGUUAUAGCCACCACCAUACACGUUGAUUUUUUAAAUAUUAUUCAACCAUCUUGUUGCUGAUUGACUUCAGUGUAACUGACUUGUUGCAUCAUCCAACCUUCUUAAGCAUCAAGUCACAACCAGUUUCCCUGUAAAAUAUCUUGAUGCUACCUUGACAAUUAUAGUUUCUCUCAGUGAUUAAAAUGUCCUUAAGCCCUGAGAGAAGGAAUGAGAUGUGUUAAUGAGUUAAUGUUAGACAUUUAAGUUAGAAUUUCUAGUUAUUAGAUCAGUAAUAUACAUUGUACAAUCAUUCAAUUACAUAAAAUAAAAAUUGCCAAAAAAUCUGUUCAGGAGGAUACUGAUG